AUUGAACGCUGGCGGCAUGCUUUACACAUGCAAGUCGAACGGUAACAGGCCGCAAGGUGCUGACGAGUGGCGAACGGGUGAGUAAUGCAUCGGAACGUGCCCAGUCGUGGGGGAUAACGCAGCGAAAGCUGCGCUAAUACCGCAUAUGAUCUAUGGAUGAAAGCGGGGGACCGUAAGGCCUCGCGCGAUUGGAGCGGCCGAUGUCAGAUUAGGUAGUUGGUGGGGUAAAGGCUCACCAAGCCAACGAUCUGUAGCUGGUCUGAGAGGACGACCAGCCACACUGGGACUGAGACACGGUCCAGACACCUACGGGUGGCAGCAGUCGAGAAUUUUUCUCAAUGGGCGCAAGCCUGAAGGAGCGACGCCGCGUGGAGGAUGAAGGCCUUCGGGUUGUAAACUCCUGUCAUUUGGGAACAAACCUUUCAUUUAACUGAUGAAAGACUGAUAGUACCAGAAGAGGAAGAGACGGCUAACUCUGUGCCAGCCGCCGCGGUAAUAC
rnacentral:rRNA from 1 species